CAGCAGCCGCGGGAAUACCGAGGAUGCAAGCGUUAUCCGGAAUGAUUGGGCGUAAAGCGUCUGUAGGUGGCUUUUCAAGUCCGCCGUCAAAUCCCAGGGCUCAACCCUGGACAGGCGGUGGAGACUACCAAGCUGGAGUACGGUAGGGGCAGAGGGAAUUUCCGGUGGAGCGGUGAAAUGCGUUGAGGUCGGAAAGAACACCAACGGCGAAAGCACUCUGCUGGGCCGACACUGACACUGAGAGACGAAAGCUAGGGGAGCAAAUGGGAUUAGAUACCCCGGUAGUCCCCUGUCUCUUAUA
rnacentral:rRNA from 1 species